rnacentral:lncRNA from 1 species
CCUGUGCGACAGAGUGAGACUCCAUCUCACAAAAAAAAAGACAUUAUUCUCAUGAAAACAGUCAUGACAGUCAUGAACAAGUAGUCCUAUUUGUACAAAAUGAAAUACAAAUGACUAAUAAAUAGGUAAAAAGAUAUUCAACUUCACCAAUAACAAAGGAAUGUAAGUUAGAAAAAAAGAAAUGUAAUUUUCACUCAUCAGAGUAACAAACUUUUAUCAUAUCAAAUAUUGAUGAUGUUGUAAAGAAAUGAAUACUCUUUUUUACAGCUUAGUAGUAUUCCAUGGUAUACGUAUAUUCUGUAUUUUCUUUAUCCACUCAUUGGUUGAUGGGCACUUAGGUUGAUUCCAUAUCUUUGCAAUUGUGAAUUGUGCUGUGAUAAAUAUACACUGUUUUUGUAAGUAUAAAUUUUUGCAGCUAUUUACAGUACAAUUUUGGCAGUGUCUAUUAGAGUGAAAAAUAAUGUCUCCUCUGACUCAGCAAUUCAUUUCUGUUUCUACCUUAAGGAUGCACUUGCAUGUGCCCUGUAUGAAAGUACAAGCAUGUUAACUGCAGCAGUGUUAGUUACAGGCAAAAUUGGAAAUGAACAUCAAAACUGGGAUAAGAGCACCAUGGUAAAUCUGGACUAUGUAGUACUUGCAAAAGAUGCAGAUAAGCCUACGUGUACCAAUGUGGAAAGGUCUGUGAAACAUAUUGUUCACUGCAAAAAAUAACAAUUCCAAAAAAAGAAGUAUAGAUAAAAAAAUUUGGGUAUAAAAUCAACCCACAUACAAAAUAUAGAUCUUUGUAUAGUUGCAUACCUCUCUACAUGUUUGUAUAUGUUUUACAUACGUAUCUAUCUCUAUCUAUCAUCUAUCUCUCUCUCUCUCUAUCUAUCUAUCUCUCUAUCAUCUAUCUAUCUAUCUAUCUAUCAAGAGAUUGAUUUCAAUUCAAAGUAAAGUAACAGUAUAUUUGGAUGCAGAGCAAACAUAAGAGUGGCCUCCUCUACAAAAGGGACUCAAGAUAGAAAUCUGAAAAGCACAGAAAACUACAAAGCAACGCAUAUGGCUAAUAAAACAUAUUGAGGAUGAAUGAGAAAACAACCUGGUUCCUGGAAGGAGAGAAACAAGGUGGAGUCUUCUCACAGAAACAAGGAGAAGGUCAGAGAGACCUCCGGGAGCAUCUCAUCUUGGAGGUAGCUGUUUGCAUGAGGGCAGUGCUUGUCCUGAGAUGCUAGUUUCGCAGAGUGGUGUUCACAAGGGAAAUAAGCUAGGUCAUUACCGUCUACCCUUACACCAGGAAGAGGAAAACAUUUCAGGCUUAUAUACCAAGGCUUUCCUGCCCCUAAGCUGUCCAGAGUUGCCUUAGUAUUGAUUAUCUUAACUUAAUUAUUAUAAAGUUUGCUGGUAAUGCUUUUGUAUUAAGAGUAAAAGAUAACCUUGAGAGCUGCAAACAUGAGCCCAGCGAUCCAGGAGAUCAAGUUAAUAAUUCUGGAUAUCAAGAGAUCCACGAUUAGUCAAUUCCAACCUGUUUUCCUUUGAUGCCUUAAUCAAGGUUUAGUUAUAGUUAACCUACUUUCAAAAUGCUUACUUCCACCCUCCCUCCAAGAAUCACCCUGAGCAUUUCCUCCACUCUCUAAGUUUAGGAAUUUAGGACUUUCCCCCAAGAAAGGCACUGUAGAGAACAAACAUAUGACAUCUCAAAGACACUUCGCCAUUUCAAAUAGGAAAGAAAAAUUUGCAUCCAAACAGGCCAAAUAUUGCACUCACUGUUAAUGUAAUCAUUUUUCUGACUUUGAAUUCCUUUUCCCAAGUGACUAAACAACGUCUUUAUUCUAACCUUUCGGCACUAGGCAGUUUUUCUCCUGCUUUAGUUUCCUCUACAACCUCCGGAAGAGUUUUCCUCAGCCCUGUUACCUGUUUCGUCCAUCAUUCUGUUGCUCACUGGAUUGGUUUUUACAUUAGUGUGUUUUGACAGCACACAAUGGUUUCCUCAGUUACACAACAGACUCAGUGCCAAUAAACUUUUUUUUAGGUAAUGUAAAGCAUAUUUGAGCACAAGAAUGAUUGCAUUUUCAUGGCUAAAAAUAAACAGUUGUUUUUAAUUUUCCAUGAGAAUGCUGGCUCUUAGCACAAGGGGCCACCUUCUACCUGGUGAACUCUUUAUGCCAAAGUCAUCACUACGUGGCUAGAAAUGUGAAAUUCAAGUUUUCCUUAUGUAACAUAAAGGGAAAAGCCCAUAGGCAAAUCUCUCUUUAAUUCCAUCGUAUCACUGCUCAUGCACAGUGCUUUUAAAACAGACUAUAACAAACAUACCCUAACAGAGAAACAAGUCCUACCCUAGCUAAUUUACAUAAAAAGACUAUCUUUAUUUUUAUAGUAACAAAAAAAGCUAGGAUUAUCUCAUUUAAUCCUUAUACCAUCAUUAUGAAGUGGGUAAUGUUAUACUUACAAAAGGAAGUUAAUCAUUUCUUAUUUUCCACAGACACCACAAGCUCAAGAGGCUGCAUUAGCGUUUUUUAUUGGAGGCAUUUUCUUUUCCUCCAGAUUUUGUUUUUGACUGUUAAGGUCAUAGCUACAAACAAUUGAUCAAGCCUAAAAGGGCAUUUAUAAACCACCUGCAUCUACAUUUUUUUCUUACUGUGGAUGGAUUUAAAAAGCCGUUUCAAGAUGAAAUCUUAUGAGUCAUUAUCAUGUCUUCUGAGGGCUGAGAUAUAACUUUGAAGUAGAGCCCAAACAUGAAGAUCAUGAAGAUGGCUUCUUCUCCAAAUGAUGUUAUCUUAAAAACUUGAAAAAGACAAAAAAAAAAAAAAAAAAAAAGAAGAAGAAAAAGAAAAAAGAAAGAAAAAAAGAGAGAGCGAGCCAAGGGAACUUGAAUCAGACAAACCUGGUUCAAAGUGAUUAUUCAACAAAUGUAAGCUGUUAUCAUCUUGUCCUCCAUCAUUCAAAUAUGUCCUGUAUAGAUCUUCCAUUAAUUUCAAAUAUCUAAUGAUCUACACCAUCAAAUAUUAUGAAGGUGAUGUUUAGCAGGUCAUUGGCUAAGACAGGCUCUACCUCAGUCUCUAAUAGAGAAGGAAAGACAAGUAGCAUUUACUAACACCCACAGUAUGCUUCAUAUUGUUGCCAGAAAUUUCAAAUGCACCAUCUAUUGAUGCAUGGAAUCCUUUCAACAUUCUUAGAAGACAAGACCUCCACCCUCUGCAAAACAUCUUCCCAGGAUUAUGGGAAGUGCCCAAGAUGUGGUCACGGGUGUACCACAGCCAGUUGGCUUCUGUGGUACUCUGCCGCUGCGCCUGCCUCCACUUCUGUGGUUCAUCCCCAACUCCCAUGGAAGUUGGAGCACUUUCACGGAACCCUGCGGUUCUUUCCAACAUGCAGCAGCCACCAGCCACAGUCACCUGCAACCACAAAUCAGCAAAGCCCCACAGCCCCGAAUCUCCACUGAGGUUUGUAAUGAAGUGGGACUUCAAGUUUAAGUCUUUCUCCGAGGCUAUUACGGCCUGCCAGUAGGGGCUCUCCAUGUGCACUGCUCAAACCAUUAUGCUCUAUAACUGUUUUCAGUGUAAGGCUCUUUACGCUUUGUUAGUAAUCUCUUGCUCUCCGGAGCCCAGAGAGUGACAGAUUCGUAACAGACCCCUGUUCACUCCUCGUUGCCUCUCCCCUGUGCUGAGAGGGCUUCUCAUUGGCUCAGGUGCAUCCCCUGUGCUGCUUCUCCCCUCAGGAUGCCCUCUUCAUCUAGAGGUUUCUCCAGGGAACCUGCCUGGCUCACUCACCUAACAAGCUAAGAAAUGUCUGAACCGUCUUUAAAUUCAAGCCAGGAGCCUAGAAGUAGUCCUAGGGAAAACGAAACAAAACAAAACAAAACAAAACAAAACCAACAAACAAACAAACACGACUGGAAAGAAAUACAUGGAGAAGUUAACAGGAGGGCUCCUUGGAGAGAUGGUUAAUUCUGGGGCUGGCCUGGGAAGGAUGAGAUGAGGCUGAAGCACCUUGCUGUGCCGGAACAUCAGGACGUGCUCAAAAAGUGAUGAGGCCAGGGCCUGAUGGAAGAGGCUCCCAGCAACCAAACCUGCCAAGGUUUGAGCACCAAAAAAACAGCAACAGUGAUUCUAUAACCCAUGAGAAUAAAAGAAUCAGUCCAUGAUGACAUAGGUAAGUAAAUAAAGAGAAAUACAUAGAAAGCUUCUUUUUACAGUAGAAUUUCAACUAAUAAAUAUCCAAGAGAUGAUGGGGAAAAUGUUGAAGUGGUUUAUCACAUAGAUGAGACCAUGGAUUUUUUUUCUUUUUUCUGAUCACCCUUUCUAAUUAUUUUUAUUUUUUUGCAAUGAAUAAUUGCUUGUAUAAUAAAAAUGCAAAAAGUCACCUGCAGUAGAUCGCCUGUGAAGUUAUAUUCUUAUUGUAUCUCUCAUGAGCGACAUUUGUCUCCUACUUUUAUGCUAAUGAAUUUUUGAUAGGCCCUAUCUUGCAUUUCUUUUUCCUAUUUACGUAUUUUAGAAAGAGGACAGCACAGGUGCUUCCCAGCAGGGCCACCCUGCACAAAGGCACCCAGUAGGCUGCAGAGUGAGGCUGAAAGUUAACCCCUGAUCUUUGCGUUAAACUGUGACGACUGGUGCACGGUUGCAUCUGCCCAUAAGGCCACUGUUUCCUAACUCACACAUGAUUCUGUCCUAGCUGCUGUGUCCUUCAAAAUAGUCUGUGUGGGUUUACCUGGUUGCUGCUAGAAUUCUUCUUUUUGAUCUCAAGGUCAAAGCCUGGUGGCAUGAACAGCAUUACCUGUUCAGCCGUGCGUCACUAAAGGUGUGAGGAGGUUGAGAUCAAGAGCAGUCUAGUUAGGAAGUGUCAUCUCUUCAAGUUUCCUCCCCUGAGUUUGUUGAACUUGCAGGGCAUGAGGUCACCUUCCUCAUCUGAUUUUCCCAUUCUCUAUUCCAAAUACAUGGCAUGGCUGUGGCCAGAUUCUUGCCACUCUAGGAGGUGAGUGGAAGGAUGUCCAGUUGCUUUAGGAAACUGUUCUUCCAUCACUGAGAAGCCAGGCCAGCUCACAAUUUAUGUUUCAUGAGGAUUACUUGUUCUUUCAGAAGUCACUGACAAAUGUUGGUCCCUACUGGCAAUGAGGUAGCUCUGCAUCUUUUCUCAGAACCACUCUGACAGGUAACUCUUGCCUCUCUCUAAUUCAGAGAUGUUGGUGAAAUACUCCUCUGCUCCGUUUACUCUGCAUCACUUUCUAGGAAAGAAAAGUGAUGAGUCAGCUCUUGACACUGUGCCUUCAGUGUGAUCCCCCUACAUUCUAGAAAACAGCAAUGCCUCAAAGCUGAUUCUCAACGCUGCUACAGGCUUUUUCUCUAUUUGGGGUUUCUAUUGAUUCUUUCCGUCAUUAUCUUUCCUAAAAGGGCAGCGUAUAAAGGGGAAUAGUUGCACAAAGGGGUAUUUUAAGAAUAAUUCGCCUUUAGGUGUGUGCUUCCAGAAGACACUGGUGGAGAAACUACUUCUGUGGGAGAAAAAGUACAGUGGCCUCUAGGGUGAGAACUCAAGGUGUCAGCAGCACCUACAUAAAGCAAGACACCAGCCAUGUGCCACCACACUGCCACCAGGAGACAGGUCCUGCUUGUGUUGAUCCCUGGUGACAUGACCAGAACCAAAACAAACGAACAAACAAACAAACAAACAACCUUAAAGUAGGUAAAGAUCUUGAAGGUGGCAAAAUGAUGCCAAUCCAAGAAGAAACCAAUUCCUAAUGUGAAAUGGAUACACUGACCCUGCCAACCAAGGGCAUUGUCUUUCCCAGUUUGAACAAAACCACAAUCCAUUAACUCCAGUAUUGAUGAUUUUCUUCUAUUCUAGGCCCUGAGCUCUUUUUGGGUCAACUGCAGCUGCAACUCUAGAGCGACAAUAAGGAUGUGUUUGAGGUGCUGAGGGAGGAGGAGGAUGGAGUGAGAAGGUGACAACAUUCAGCCAGGUGCCCCCAAAACAUGGAGGCAAGAGAAAGAGAAUUUGUCCAAGUGCAAGGUCUGCAGGCAGUGCAGGGCAGCUACCAGCAGGGCCCAUUUUUAUGGGAUUGUGAAAGGUGAUUCUGGAAAGGCAGGCAGCAGCUACAACAUGAAAGAUCUUUGGACUGUGUCUGUAUAUGAUAAGAAGUCAAAGAAGUAUCUUUAAAACAAGAGGAGCAAAGAGAGCUCAUCCUGGUAACAGAUGGAGGGUUAGGCUUGCCUAAGUUUACAGAAGUAGGUAAUGACAGGGCUAAGAGAGAACUCAGCUCAUUUUAAUUCCAUAUUGCUUAUCUUUCUCUUGUGCUUUGCAGUGUGUGUGUGUAUGUGUGUGUGUGCGUGUGUGUAGGGAGGAGGGGUGAGAUUGGCAAAAGUUGAGCCAGAUUAUACUGAUUAAUUAGUUCAACACCCAUUUUGCUGAGAGCAUACCGUGCCCACAGUGCUGAGUUGAGCAAACUUAAGAGGUGAUAUGAAAGGAGCAAAAGUGCUUAAAAAUCUGGGAAAGGGUAUCCAUCCCUGGUGCAUUGGUUUUGAUUAUUCCUCAGCUAUAUAAACAUCCAAAGAGAUGACCUCAUAUAUUCCACAGGCAUGACCGAAGAUUAUGGCACAGAUGUUCUGAAAUAAACAAUGUUAGUGCAAGCACAUAGCUGCACAGUCCUGUAAUGGUCCCGAGAAGAGCUUAGACCAUUUUUUUAAAAAACAUAAACCACAAGUUAAGGCUAAAUCAGAAAGAAAAUAGAAACCUUUCUUCAUCUGCUCUGUUCUUGGUUUCAUGUUUUAUAGAUGGCCUGGGAAGCCCUCUGCACGCCUUUCUCAACUAAGGAAUUUGUGGAAGUAGAAUUUCUUCUGUUGACAGAAUUCUGCUGAGAACUGAAUUUUCUGCUGUUUUCAUUACUCUUUUCUAAAUGUUUCACAGUUCUGUUUUUUUUACAGCCAGAUUUCCAUUUGAUACUGGUUGUGGUUACACUAAAAGUAACAUCUAUGGCCAAAUGGCUGGAAAUUUUACAUUUUUGACACCGAGAUUUUUCCUGUACUUCACGGAGGGCAAGGGUUAUACCCUAUUUUUUCCCAGUCUCCCACAGUGCCCAACCCAGACGACCGUACAUAAUAAGCGCUUUAUUCUCAGCACUGCUGUAUGCCUCAUUGGAACAGGAUGCCCAAGGUGAUGGCUGCAGAAAUGGAUGGAUUGGAGCGUGACUUGCCAAGACAGGUAUGUAGAAAUUAUUGUGGAGUGACGUGGCAUGAUCUCAGCUUACUGCAGCCUCAACCUCCCGGGCACAGGUGAUUCUCCAACCUCAGCCUUGGAGUAGC